CUGCUCCCCAUCACCUUUUGCCAUGAUUGGAAGUUUCCUGAGGCCCCACAAGAAGCAGAUGCCAGCACUAUGCUUCAUGUACAGUCUACAGAACUAAGCAAAUGGCCCCGAGAUGGCAAAGCCAUACCAUGAAAAGCGACUGGACCUCUGAGUCACCUCUUUGAGCAGAGAGAGCCAGAAGAUCCUCUUCACUCACACUGAACAGUGGCACGUGGGUGAAAUCACACUGUGCUGAGUUUCUGGAACCUCAGGAAUCUUUGGUACAGCAAAGAUGAUACUUUGAUUAAUACGCCAAACUCCAAGCUUAGAAAAUCUGGAUGUACAGCCUGUGUUCUUAAUUGCAAUGUUAUUUUUUCUCUUCCUUCUUCCUUUUCUGAAUAAUAAUACUUCUAAGAUUGCUGAAUAAAUCCGAUAUUGAUUGAGAUAAUAUAAGUGUGGUAACUAUAAUGCGUUU
rnacentral:lncRNA from 10 species